GAUGAACGCUGGCGGCGUGCCUAAUACAUGCAAGUCGAGCGAACAGACGAGGAGCUUGCUCCUUUGACGUUAGCGGCGGACGGGUGAGUAACACGUAGGUAACCUACCUAUAAGACUGGGAUAACUUCGGGAAACCGGAGCUAAUACCGGAUAAUAUUUCGAACCGCAUGGUUCGAUAGUGAAAGAUGGCUUUGCUAUCACUUAUAGAUGGACCUGCGCCGUAUUAGCUAGUUGGUAAGGUAACGGCUUACCAAGGCAACGAUACGUAGCCGACCUGAGAGGGUGAUCGGCCACACUGGAACUGAGACACGGUCCAGACUCCUACGGGAGGCAGCAGUAGGGAAUCUUCCGCAAUGGGCGAAAGCCUGACGGAGCAACGCCGCGUGAGUGAUGAAGGUCUUCUGAUCGUAAAACUCUGUUAUUAGGGAAGAACAAACGUGUAAGUAACGGUGCACGUCUUGACGGUACCUAAUCAGAAAGCCACGGCUAACUACGU
rnacentral:rRNA from 1 species